GACGAACGCUGGCGGCGUGCUUAACACAUGCAAGUCGAACGGUGAAGCGCCUUCCUUUUUGGUGGGUGUGGAUGAGUGGCGAACGGGUGAGUAACACGUGAGUAACCUGCCCCCUUCUUCUGGAUAACCGCAUGAAAGUGUGGCUAAUACGGGAUAUUCUGGGUCUGUCGCAUGAUGGGUCUGGGAAAGAUAUUGUUUCGGUGGGGGAUGGGCUCGCGGCCUAUCAGCUUGUUGGUGGGGUGAUGGCCUACCAAGGCGGUGACGGGUAGCCGGCCUGAGAGGGUGGACGGUCACACUGGGACUGAGACACGGCCCAGACUCCUACGGGGGGCAGCAGUGGGGAAUAUUGCACAAUGGGCGCAAGCCUGAUGCAGCGACGCCGCGGGAGGGAUGGAGGCCUUCGGGUUGUGAACCUCUUUCGCCAGUGAAGCAGGCCUGCCUCGUUUGUGGGUGGGUUGACGGUAGCUGGAUAAGAAGCGCCGGCUAACUACGUG
rnacentral:rRNA from 1 species